GGGUCUAUAGUAUACCAUCCUGAAUGUCCGUGGCCUCAUCUGGUCUCAGAAGCUAAGCAGGGCUGAGUCUAGUUAGUACUUGGAUGGAAGAAAACAAAGCAGAGAAAAGAUGGGUUUGGGAUUUU
rfam:Mesocricetus auratus contig007883, whole genome shotgun sequence.